AUUGAACGCUGGCGGCAGGCCUAACACAUGCAAGUCGAGCGGAGCGGAGGGCGGGUGAGUAAUGUUUGGGAAACCGUCUGAUGGAGGGGGAUAACUACUGGAAACGGGCUCUAAUACCGCACACUAUCCGAUGUGCCUAGGGCGGAUUAGCUAGUGGGUGGGGUAAAGGCCUACCAAGGCGACGAUCCGUAACUUGUCGGAGAGGAGGAUCAGUCACACUGGAACUGAGACACGGGCCAGACGCCUACGGGAGGCAGCAGUGGGGAAUAUUGGACAAUGGGCGAAAGCCUGAGCGAGCCAUGCCGAGUGUGUGAAGAAGGUCUUCGGAUUGUAAAGCACUUUAAGUUGGGAGGCGUUACCAACAGAGUAAGCACCGGCUAACUUCGUGCCAGCAGCCGCGGUAAUAC
rnacentral:rRNA from 1 species